GGAAUAUUGGACAAUGGGCGAAAGCCUGAUCCAGCCAUGCCGCGUGUGUGAAGAAGGUCUUCGGAUUGUAAAGCACUUUAAGUUGGGAGGAAGGGCAGUUACCUAAUACGUGAUUGUUUUGACGUUACCGACAGAAUAAGCACCGGCUAACUCUGUGCCAGCAGCCGCGGUAAUACAGAGGGUGCAAGCGUUAAUCGGAAUUACUGGGCGUAAAGCGCGCGUAGGUGGUUUGUUAAGUUGGAUGUGAAAUCCCCGGGCUCAACCUGGGAACUGCAUUCAAAACUGACUGACUAGAGUAUGGUAGAGGGUGGUGGAAUUUCCUGUGUAGCGGUGAAAUGCGUAGAUAUAGGAAGGAACACCAGUGGCGAAGGCGACCACCUGGACUGAUACUGACACUGAGGUGCGAAAGCGUGGGGAGCAAACAGGAUUAGAUACCCCAG
rnacentral:rRNA from 1 species